CAGGAUUCUAGCUCCCAAUAAAUAAAAGGAACAAUGGAUUUUUCUUAUAUAACUUGGUCUUCUGCCUCUUGUAGAGAAAGUUUGCAAAGAAAAUUAAUUUCUGUGAAGGCAGGAUGUGUUUGCUCUCAAAUUCUCUAGAAGAUCAACUAGAGCUCCUCUUCUUUAUGCCCCCCUUCCCUAUGACCCUCUUUCCAUAAUACAGACUACAAGGCUCUGCAACUGUCUGCCUUGGAGGAGCGGUAACUGGAAGGAGGAGAAAAAGACAUUGAAAUUAGGGGUACUUGAAGCUGCAAAAUCUCCAAAGCUCCAGAAAAGACUGCACUGUUCACAAUGGCUAGAAUUUGGAAGCAACCUAAGUGUCCAUCAACAGAGGAAUGAAUCAAGAAAGUAUGGUACUUAUACACAAUGGAGUACUAUUCAGCAAUAAAAAAGAAUGAGAUCCUGUCAUUUGCAACAACAUGGAUGGAACUGGAGGUCAUUCUGCUAAGUGAAAUAAACCCAGCAAAGAAAGAUAAACAUUGCAGGUUCUCACUUAUUUGUAGGAUCUCAAUAUCAAAACAAUAAAAUGUACGGACAUAGAGAAUGGAAGGAUGGUUACCAGAGGCUGGAGAGGAUAGUGGUGGGUGGUGGGGGCAAGUUACCAAUGGUUAAUGAGUACACAGAAAAUAGAAACAGCGAAUAAAACCUAGUAUUUGAUAGCACAACAAGGUGCCUGUAGUCAAUAAUAAUUUAAUUGUACAUUUUAAAAUCACUAAAAGAGUCCAAUUGGAUUGUUUGUAACACAAGGAAUAAAUAAAUGCUUGAAUGGAUGGAUACCUCAUUUUCCAUGAUGUGAUUAUUAUGCAUUGCAUGCCUGUAACAAAAUA
rnacentral:lncRNA from 1 species